AUGAACAACUCCAACAACUCUAUCCUCCUAGAAGAACAGCUCAUCAAGAAAUCCCAACAAAAGAGAAGAACUUCUCCCUCGAACUUUAAAGUCCGCUUCUUUGUUUUAACCAAAACCAGCUUGGCGUAUUUUGAGGACCGUCAUGGGAAAAAGCGCACCUUGAAGGGCUCUAUUGAACUCUCCAGGAUCAAAUGUGUCGAGAUUGUGAAAAGUGACAUUAGCAUCCCUUGCCACUACAAGUAUCCUUUUCAGGUUGUGCAUGACAACUACCUCCUGUAUGUGUUUGCUCCAGACCGUGAGAGCCGGCAGCGCUGGGUGUUGGCCCUUAAAGAAGAAACGAGGAAUAAUAACAGUUUGGUGUCCAAGUAUCAUCCUAAUUUCUGGAUGGAUGGGAGGUGGAGGUGCUGUGCUCAGCUGGAGAAGCUUGCAGUGGGCUGCACCCAGUACGAUCCAACCAAAAAUGCUUCAAAGAAGCCUCUUCCUCCUACUCCUGAAGACAACAGGCGAUCACUUCAGGAGCAUGAAGAAACCCUGGUCAUUGCCUUGUAUGACUACCAAACGAACGACCCUCAGGAACUCACGCUACAGCGCAAUGACGAGUACUACCUGCUGGACAGCUCUGAGAUUCACUGGUGGAGAGUUCAGGACAAGAAUGGACACGAAGGAUACGUACCAAGCAGCUAUCUGGUGGAAAAAUCUGCAAAUAACCUGGAAACCUACGAGUGGUACAAUAAGAGUAUCAGCCGAGACAAAGCUGAAAAACUUCUUUUGGACACAGGCAAAGAAGGAGCCUUCAUGGUACGGGAUUCCAGGACUCCAGGCACGUACACCCUGUCUGUCUUCACCAAGGCCAUCGUAAGUGAGAGCAACCCCUGCAUAAAGCACUAUCACAUCAAAGAAACAAAUGACAACCCCAAGCGAUACUAUGUGGCUGAAAAGUAUGUGUUCGAUUCCAUCCCUCUGCUCAUCAACUAUCACCAGCACAACGGAGGAGGCCUGGUCACGCGCCUUCGCUACCCUGUUUGUUCCUGGAGGCAGAAAGCCCCCAUCACAGCUGGGCUGAGAUACGGGAAAUGGGUGAUCCGUCCCUCGGAGCUCACUUUCGUGCAGGAGAUCGGCAGCGGGCAGUUCGGACUGGUGCAUCUUGGCUACUGGCUCAACAAGGACAAGGUGGCCAUCAAAACCAUUCAGGAAGGAGCUAUGUCCGAAGAGGACUUCCUGGAGGAGGCUGAAGUCAUGAUGAAACUCUCUCACCCCAAACUGGUCCAGCUGUACGGGGUGUGCCUGGAGCAGGCCCCCAUCUGCCUCGUGUUCGAGUUCAUGGAACAUGGCUGCCUGUCGGAUUACCUGCGCAGCCAGCGGGGGCUCUUGGCUGCAGAGACCCUGCUGGGCAUGUGCCUGGACGUGUGUGAGGGCAUGGCCUACCUGGAAGAGGCGUGUGUCAUCCACAGAGACCUGGCUGCCAGGAAUUGCCUAGUGGGAGAAAACCAAGUCAUCAAGGUGUCGGACUUUGGGAUGACAAGGUUUGUCCUUGACGAUCAGUACACCAGCUCCACGGGCACCAAGUUCCCGGUGAAGUGGGCAUCCCCGGAAGUCUUCUCCUUCAGCCGCUACAGCAGCAAGUCGGAUGUGUGGUCAUUUGGUGUGCUAAUGUGGGAAGUCUUCAGCGAAGGCAAAAUCCCAUAUGAAAACCGAAGCAACUCAGAGGUGGUGGAAGACAUCAGUACCGGAUUUCGGUUGUACAAGCCCCGGCUGGCCUCCUCUCAUAUCUACCAGAUCAUGAAUCAUUGCUGGAAAGAGAAACCUGAAGACCGGCCACCCUUCUCCAGACUCUUCAGUCAACUGGGUGAAAUUGCAGAAUUGGGACUUUAGCAGAGACUCGGCUGCAGAUCCUGAGCCAAAAGAAGUCCUCCCUCCACAGAGCAUUAAAAGCUGCCACCAGCCCAGGACUCCCCAGGGGCAGCUGGCCUCUGGUGCCAGUCCCUGAGCUGCCAGGGAGGCAGCACCUUGACAGAGGCUGGCACUCCGCCACCAGCAGAAGCCUCAGCCAAUGAACUGGGAGCCAGGCCAGGCAGCGGCCAUGUCUCCACCCUCCCUCCAGCCUCUUAUCUCGGGUGGUGCACAAACCUCAAUCUGACAGCUUUCAGGCAACCUUUCUUGCACUUUUUCUUAGAGAAAGAGAGUGGGUAGGACCCUGGAUUGUUGUUUUAUUAUUAUUAUUAUUUUAACCAUGGAUCUAAGGUUAGUGGCCAGGGACUUUUUAUUUGACUUGACAACACAAAAUCCCAGGGAUGGGGCAAGAGGAAGAGCAGCAUGACUCCUGAUCAAGGAGAACUGUGAGCUAAUUCAGGUCAGAAAGCGUGAGCUCCUCGCACGAUGCUGUCAGCCACAGCUUCCUGCCAACAUGGAGGGAGGAGCAGCUGCUCACAUCAGAGGCCGGAUAUUCUGAGAAGCAGCUAUGUGAGGUUUUACUCGGAGCACACCGCCACCUUUCUCCUUGAAGGCAGCCUUAUGGAUUUGGGUGGACAAUUCUGAUCCACUGUUGGAGCGUUGGGUAUCUGGUGUCUGCGCAGAAAGAGGGCAUCUGAUGGUAGGGAACCCGCUGAGAAAGACCUUAUAUUGUUACCACACCAAAUGUUCACCUUUAGUACUGAGCCAGGCGGGUAACUAUGCCUCCCUCCCCUCUGCACAGAACGCCCGCAGGCAUCCUAGGAGGAAAUGGCUGCUUCUGAACACAGACUCUGAGGACUCUGUCACCUGCCACCCACGCCUCCAGGAGUCAGGCCCCUGUCUGCAUGCUUCCAUCAACAACAGAGGGCAGCCUUGCGUUGUGCAGCAUGGCCUUGUAGAGAAAUAGAAGCCUGUUUAAGCCCUAGAAAUUCACAGCUUUACAGUUGAGACUUGAAGUAUCCCAAAGUUCUGGGAGAGGAACAAGGGGUCUGUUCUUUCCCAAACCAUAUGGAUGUAAACUGAGUCAGGCACUAAGUGGGGUGCUCCUGUAGCAAUGGCCACUGUGGAUUGAGCACCUAAAUAGGCAAAGUGAAAAUGUACUGAGCUAUAAGCUUUCUCUGCAAUUCACCCUGAGUUCACCCCAAUCUCGUGCGAUAGUAUUAUUAUUCCCGUUCUACAGACAGUAAAACUGAGGCUUUAAAAAGCCAGGAAACCUGCCAGAAGCAACAGAGCUAGGAAAUAUAAAGGCCAGGAUUCUAGCCCACAUCUGUCUGACUCCAACGCACAGUUUCUUUAUUCCUGUUCAGCACUGUCUUUUACAGAGGAUGAAAGGGAUUGCAGAGGAGACAAAUACAGCAGAGGGGAAAGACAGAGAAAGCCAAUGAAGACAUAAACAAAGCACCACCAGAAAAAAGGUUGCUCCUGGGGUUGGCACUGUAGCCCUCCCACUCAGAAUAGGAUCUUCUCUUUCCUCAUCUGUAGCCUCCCUUUCGUCAAAGUUAAUGAGUUUGGACUUACUCAAUUAACCCUUUGAUUCACGCAACCCACCAGAGCCAUGUUGCAUGCAGCCAUUUAUAGGAACCAGUGCAGGCUCCAGAGGACCUCUAGGCACAGAAGAGAAAGCCUGUGGCUUCACGCCUUCCUUCACGGGACUCCCCUCUGGCCUGGCUCCUGCUGGCAAGUGAUCCAGACAGGAAACUUCUAAAGGGGGUAGGUGAACAGACUGCUUCUCGGAGCACUUAUCCUGAAGACCCUGCUCUUUCCAGAAUCUUCCAAAGCUCUGAGGUCCACCACUCUGAGGAGGCAGAAUAAACUCCACCCAGAAAGAUGGGCCGUGCACACUCACUGUGAGAGGGUAUGCAUGGGCAGAGGGAGCUGUGGAUUCCCUUGUCAGGGGCUCAAGAAGGCGGUCUGAUGAUCAGGAAGACAGGGUUGGAGUUGAAGCUGCAUUUGCACAGAAAGCACAUAUUUUCAAUUAGAGUCUAUGUUUAUUUGCAGGGGCUUUGAGGGAAGUGCAUUGUAGCCUGCUCCCCAGAGCCACCCCUUGGUGGCAGCACUGUGUGUGCAUGUGUGUGCGUGUGCAUGUAUGUGCCUGUGCGUGUGCGUGUGUGUGUGUCUUCAAUGACUUUGAGGUUCUCUCCAAGUCGUGGUAUGUAGUUGGCUUGGGAAAUAACAGAAGCAUACGCAUACUGCUAGAAGGAGCUAUAGAGAUCCUUCAUUUAUUUCAUAAGUAGUUACCAUUCACUUGCUAUUGCCUAGCACGGUGGUAGGUGCCUAAGAUGAAUAAGAUGUCAGCGAUCAAACACAUCACACUCACAGAAAGCUCAUCCAAGCAGGGUUGAUUUACAAAAGGACAAUUUAAAAAUAGUGUGGGUCAGGUUUGGGAGAACCACGGGAAGUGGUACAGAGGAAAUAACAGCCACGGAGCAGUCACCACACCGAGGCCUGGAGAGCAGGAGGGGAGUGGUCAUAUGAAUGUGGAAGCAGAGGGCCCGUGGGAGAAGGCUGCCUUCAGAGAAGAGGACCUUUAGUCAGGACAGAGGAAGCCCCAAGCAGCAUCCCAAGGAGGAAGCCAGAAGAACAAAUAUGCUGACCCUGCUCUCCUCCCUUCACCCCAUCAACUGCUGAGGCUUCUUGUUAACCAAACCAAUGGGGGCCAGAGGGCAAGGAAACCCGAGUAGGGCAGUCCACAGAGGUCAGUCUCCAGGGGAGACAGCAGGUGAGGAGAGUGGAGUGGUCUGGAGGACUGAGAGACACCAACCUGUCUGUUUCCAGAUUACAUGCUCCCAGCCAUUCUGUGGGGUUGACUGUAGGGCCACCUAUGCUAGCCUGAGCACACAGCAGCACCGACUCCAUUUUACCUCAGCUAUGUUUUUACAUUCUAAACCCAUUUGGAAUAUGCUCAGAUCAGUUCUCAUCCAAAAUUGCUAUAACUAGUAUGUGUUUAAAUAAAGAUGAAAUGGGGGGGGGGGGAGAUCAAAUGUUCUUUGCUAUAAGUUAUAUGUAAAAGAGCUGACCUUCAAGGGAGGCUAAUUCUCUGAAAAUUGUGGGAAAUGAACAAAGUGAAGGAAGACAGCAGAGAAGGGAGGGAAUGCAUUUCCAAAUGGCCCAGGAUGGAGCUGCAAUGUUUCAACAGCUAAACAUCCUCAAUAUUCUACAUAAUAAAGUCCUAAUAUGCAAAUUGACCAAACAGCAGACCGACUAUGAUGCACACCAACCACCAGGGGACAGACACUCAAUGCAAAAGCUGCCCCCUGGUGGUCAGUGCACAGGGGGACCUCCGCUCAGCCAAAGAUGGGCUCACGGCUGGUGAGUGCAGAGGUGGUGGCAGGAGCCUCUCCUGCCUCCACUGCAGGCAGGUGGUAAGGAGCAAG